rnacentral:rRNA from 1 species
GACGAACGCUGGCGGCGUGCUUAACACAUGCAAGUCGAACGGAAAGGCCCUGCUUUUGUGGGGUGCUCGAGUGGCGAACGGGUGAGUAACACGUGAGUAACCUGCCCUUGACUUUGGGAUAACUUCAGGAAACUGGGGCUAAUACCGGAUAGGAGCUCCUGCUGCAUGGUGGGGGUUGGAAAGUUUCGGCGGUUGGGGAUGGACUCGCGGCUUAUCAGCUUGUUGGUGGGGUAGUGGCUUACCAAGGCUUUGACGGGUAGCCGGCCUGAGAGGGUGACCGGCCACAUUGGGACUGCGAUACGGCGCAGACUCCUACGGGAGGCAGCGGUGGGGAAUAUUGCGCAAUGGGCGGAAGCCUGAUGCGGCAACGCCGCGUGCGGGAUGACGGCCUUCGGGUUGUAAACCGCUUUCGCCUGUGACGAAGCGUUAGUGACGGUAAUGGGUAAAGAGGCACCGGCUAACUACGUG